rnacentral:rRNA from 1 species
GAUGAACGCUGGCGGCGUGCUUAACACAUGCAAGUCGAACGAAGCAUUUAGAACGGAUUACUUCGGUUUGAAGUUCUUUAUGACUGAGUGGCGGAUGGGUGAGUAACGCGUGGGUAACCUGCCUUGUACUGGGGGAUAGCAGCUGGAAACGGCUGGUAAUACCGCAUAAGCGCACAAUGUUGCAUGACAUGGUGUGAAAAACUCCGGUGGUAUAAGAUGGACCCGCGUCUGAUUAGCUAGUUGGUGAGAUAACAGCCCACCAAGGCGACGAUCAGUAGCCGACCUGAGAGGGUGACCGGCCACAUUGGGACUGAGACACGGCCCAGACUCCUACGGGAGGCAGCAGUGGGGAAUAUUGCACAAUGGAGGAAACUCUGAUGCAGCGACGCCGCGUGAGUGAAGAAGUAAUUCGUUAUGUAAAGCUCUAUCAGCAGGGAAGAUAGUGACGGUACCUGUCUAAGAAGCUCCGGCUAAAUACGUGCCAGCCGCCGCUGUAAUAC